AUGAACGCUGGCGGCGUGCUUAACACAUGCAAGUCGAACGGAAAGGCCUCUGCUUGCAGGGGUACUCGAGUGGCGAACGGGUGAGUAACACGUGGGUGAUCUGCCCUGCACUUCGGGAUAAGCCUGGGAAACUGGGUCUAAUACCGGAUAGGACAAUGGUUUGGAUGCCGUUGUGGAAAGUUUUUCGGUGUGGGAUGAGCUCGCGGCCUAUCAGCUUGUUGGUGGGGUAAUGGCCUACCAAGGCGUCGACGGGUAGCCGGCCUGAGAGGGUGUACGGCCACAUUGGGACUGAGAUACGGCCCAGACUCCUACGGGAGGCAGCAGUGGGGAAUAUUGCACAAUGGGCGCAAGCCUGAUGCAGCGACGCCGCGUGGGGGAUGACGGCCUUCGGGUUGUAAACUCCUUUCGCUAGGGACGAAGCGCAAGUGACGGUACCUGGAGAAGAAGCACCGGCUAACUACGUG
rnacentral:rRNA from 1 species